GACGAACGCUGGCGGCGUGCUUAACACAUGCAAGUCGAACGGAAAGGCCCUGCUUUUGUGGGGUGCUCGAGUGGCGAACGGGUGAGUAACACGUGAGUAACCUGCCCUUGACUUUGGGAUAACUUCAGGAAACUGGGGCUAAUACCGGAUAGGAGCUCCUGCUGCAUGGUGGGGGUUGGAAAGUUUCGGCGGUUGGGGAUGGACUCGCGGCUUAUCAGCUUGUUGGUGGGGUAGUGGCUUACCAAGGCUUUGACGGGUAGCCGGCCUGAGAGGGUGACCGGCCAAAUUGGGAGUGAGAUACGGCCCAGACUCCUACGGGAGGCAGCAGUGGGGAAUAUUGCACAAUGGGCGGAAGCCUGAUGCAGCAACGCCGCGUGCGGGAUGACGGCCUUCGGGUUGUAAACCGCUUUCGCCUGUGACGAAGCGUGAGUGACGGUAAUGGGUAAAGAAGCACCGGCUAACUACGU
rnacentral:rRNA from 1 species